rnacentral:rRNA from 1 species
GACGAACGCUGGCGGCGUGCUUAACACAUGCAAGUCGAACGGAAAGGCCCUGCUUUUGUGGGGUGCUCGAGUGACGAACGGGUGAGUAACACGUGAGUAACCUGCCCUUGACUUUGGGAUAACUUCAGGAAACUGGGGCUAAUACCGGAUAGGAGCUCCUGCUGCAUGGUGGGGGUUGGAAAGUUUCGGCGGUUGGGGAUGGACUCGCGGCUUAUCAGCUUGUUGGUGGGGUAGUGGCUUACCAAGGCUUUGACGGGUAGCCGGCCUGAGAGGGUGACCGGCCACAUUGGGACUGAGAUACGGCCCAGACUCCUACGGGAGGCAGCAGUGGGGAAUAUUGCACAAUGGGCGGAAGCCUGAUGCAGCAACGCCGCGUGCGGGAUGACGGCCUUCGGGUUGUAAACCGCUUUCGCCUGUGACGAAGCGUGAGUGACGGUAAUGGGUAAAGAAGCACCGGCUAACUACGUGCCAGCAGCCGCGGUGAUACGUAGGGUGCGAGCGUUGUCCGGAUUUAUUGGGCGUAAAGGGCUCGUAGGUGGUUGAUCGCGUCGGAAGUGUAAUCUUGGGGCUUAACCCUGAGCGUGCUUUCGAUACGGGUUGACUUGAGGAAGGUAGGGGAGAAUGGAAUUCCUGGUGGAGCGGUGGAAUGCGCAGAUAUCAGGAGGAACACCAGUGGCGAAGGCGGUUCUCUGGGCCUUUCCUGACGCUGAGGAGCGAAAGCGUGGGGAGCGAACAGGCUUAGAUACCCUGGUAGUCCACGCUGUAAACGGUGGGUACUAGGUGUGGGGUCCAUUCCACGGGUUCCGUGCCGUAGCUAACGCUUUAAGUACCCCGCCUGGGGAGUACGGCCGCAAGGCUAAAACUCAAAGGAAUUGACGGGGCCCCGCACAAGCGGCGGAGCAUGCGGAUUAAUUCGAUGCAACGCGUAGAACCUUACCUGGGUUUGACAUGGAUCGGGAGUGCUCAGAGAUGGGUGUGCCUCUUUUGGGGUCGGUUCACAGGUGGUGCAUGCCUGUCGUCAGCUCGUGUCGUGAGAUGUUGGGUUAAGUCCCGCAACGAGCGCAACCCUUGUUCACUGUUGCCAGCACGUUAUGGUGGGGACUCAGUGGAGACCGCCGGGGUCAACUCGGAGGAAGGUGGGGAUGACGUCAAGUCAUCAUGCCCCUUAUGUCCAGGGCUUCACGCAUGCUACAAUGGCUGGUACAGAGAGUGGCGAGCCUGUGAGGGUGAGCGAAUCUCGGAAAGCCGGUCUCAGUUCGGAUUGGGGUCUGCAACUCGACCUCAUGAAGUCGGAGUCGCUAGUAAUCGCAAAUCAGCAACGCUGCGGUGAAUACGUUCCCGGGGCC